AACGAACGCUGGCGGCAUGCCUAACACAUGCAAGUCGAACGAGACCUUCGGGUCUAGUGGCGCACGGGUGCGUAACGCGUGGGAACCUGCCUUUAGGUUCGGAAUAACUCAGAGAAAUUUGAGCUAAUACCGGAUGAUGUCUUCGGACCAAAGAUUUAUCGCCUUUAGAUGGGCCCGCGUUGGAUUAGCUAGUUGGUGGGGUAAAGGCCUACCAAGGCGACGAUCCAUAGCUGGUCUGAGAGGAUGAUCAGCCACACUGGGACUGAGACACGGCCCAGACUCCUACGGGAGGCAGCAGUGGGGAAUAUUGGACAAUGGGCGAAGGCCUGAUCCAGCAACGCCGCGUGAGUGAUGAAGGCCUUAGGGUUGUAAAGCUCUUUUACCCGAGAUGAUAAUGACAGUAUCGGGAGAAUAAGCUCCGGCUAACUCCGUG
rnacentral:rRNA from 1 species